UACGAAGGGGGCUAGCGUUGUUCGGAAUUACUGGGCGUAAAGCGCACGUAGGCGGGUCUGUAAGUAGGGGGUGAAAUCCCAGGGCUCAACCCUGAAACUGCCUUCUAGACUGCAGGCCUUGAGGUCAGGAGAGGCGAGUGGAAUACCGAGUGUAGAGGUGAAAUUCGUAGAUAUUCGGUGGAACACCAGUGGCGAAGGCGACUCGCUGGACUGAUACUGACGCUGAGGUGCGAAAGCGUGGGGAGCAAACAGG
rnacentral:rRNA from 1 species